ncrna:unclassified sequences eL15-Euryarchaeota ribosomal protein leader
CGGGAUCCGUCCCGGUGAAAAGGAAUGUAGCUCAGCAAUGAGCCGAACCUUAGG